rnacentral:rRNA from 1 species
CACUCCUACGGGAGGCAGCAGUGGGGAAUUUUGGACAAUGGGCGAAAGCCUGAUCCAGCAAUGCCGCGUGAGUGAAGAAGGCCUUCGGGUUGUAAAGCUCUUUUGUCAGGGAAGAAACGGUGAAAGCUAAUAUCUUUUGCUAAUGACGGUACCUGAAGAAUAAGCACCGGCUAACUACGUGCCAGCAGCCGCGGUAAUACGUAGGGUGCAAGCGUUAAUCGGAAUUACUGGGCGUAAAGCGUGCGCAGGCGGUUUUGUAAGUCUGAUGUGAAAUCCCCGGGCUCAACCUGGGAAUUGCAUUGGAGACUGCAAGGCUAGAAUCUGGCAGAGGGGGGUAGAAUUCCACGUGUAGCAGUGAAAUGCGUAGAUAUGUGGAGGUACACCGAUGGCGAAGGCAGCCCCCUGGGUCAAGAUUGACGCUCAUGCACGAAAGCGUGGGGAGCAAACAGGAUUAGAAACCCUAGUAGUCCCA